CUUGAUUAGGCCGUGCACGGUGCAGAGUCUGCCGACGCGAUGUCGGACAUCCUGGAUAAGUGGGAUAUAUUUCAGGAGCUCAGCGACGAACUGAAGCAGAAUAUCAGGCUUGCGGUCGUAUUGGAUGGUAGCGCAAUUUACGUGACGAAAGAUGACGAAGUUUAUGGCUUUGGGAAAAACAAAGAAGGAUUCCUUGGUACUGGCGACAUGAAACCACGCUUAAUGCUCACAAAAAUUGAACAAUUAUGCGGAAAAAAUAUUCAAGAUUUGCAAUUCACAUACUUCACAUUUUUUGCGAUUUCUGCUACCGGCUCAGUUUAUGCCUGGGGAAAAAAUGAUUGUGGUCAGCUUGGACUGGGUACGAAACCACAAAUAUUGAUCCCAACCAAAAUAGAAGGAAUUUUGGCAACAAAAAGAGUUGUGCAAGUGGCCUGCAGCUCUAACCAUACUCUGGCUUUAACCUCGGAUAAAGAGGUCUUUUCCUUUGGUUGGAAUAAGUACGGACAGUUGGGACUGGGACACAAAGAUUGCCAAACUCUUCCAAUAAAAUUGAGCUUUCCUACGGCUAAGAGAGUUGUGACAGCCAUCGCUUGUCUACUUGCCUCAUCUCUAGCACUCCUAGACUCAGGAGAGGUGAAAAUUAUAUUUAUUUCGGGUAUUAUUUCUUAUUUUUC